GAUGAACGCUGGCGGCGUGCCUAAUACAUGCAAGUCGAGCGAACGGACGAGAAGCUUGCUUCUCUGAUGUUAGCGGCGGACGGGUGAGUAACACGUGGAUAACCUACCUAUAAGACUGGGAUAACUUCGGGAAACCGGAGCUAAUACCGGAUAAUAUUUUGAACCGCAUGGUUCAAAAGUGAAAGACGGUCUUACUGUCACUUAUAGAUGGAUCCGCGCUGCAUUAGCUAGUUGGUAGGUAACGGCUUACCAAGGCAACGAUGCAUAGCCGACCUGAGAGGGUGAUCGGCCACACUGGAACUGAGACACGGUCCAGACUCCUACGGGAGGCAGCAGUAGGGAAUCUUCCGCAAUGGGCGAAAGCCUGACGGAGCAACGCCGCGUGAGUGAUGAAGGUCUUCGGAUCGUAAAACUCUGUUAUUAGGGAAGAACAUAUGUGUAAGUAACUGUGCACAUCUUGACGGUACCUAAUCAGAAAGCCACGGCUAACUACGUG
rnacentral:rRNA from 1 species